UUUGGGAGUAGCGCAGACAUAGAAUUAGGUGAAAUCGUUGAAAUAGCCACUUCGUAGAUGAAAAGAUUGAAUAUCAGAUGUUUCUUAUGAUUCAACCAAUAUUUAAGUCUAAGUGACAGCGAUGACAAAGAGAGUUAGUGUGAUAGAGAAGAGGUUCAAGGACUGAACUCAGGCUUACUCCAUCUAUUAGGCAUUAGGAAGAAGAGGAAGACCCAGCAAAGGAGUAUCCUGGGAUGUAGGAAGAACGCCAGGAGCUUGCGAUCCCUGGAAACCAAAUAAAGAAUGUGCUUCAAGUGUCUGUUUCCUUCUGGACUUCCUUAGGGGAAAGGAGGGCUGGAACUGACGUGCCUGCUUCCCUCACCCGCAGGGGGAUCUCCCCCGGGCCACUUUGUGUCGUUCGUGCAUUCGUCGGUCACUCCUCAGGCAUGGAUGGAGCCCAAUGCUUGCCCAGCACUGAGUUGGAUUGCAUGCGAGUCAGAGGCACUACGUGCAGCACCUCACCUGCGUUAUGUCAUUGAAUUGUCACAAAAAUCCCUUGGAGGUAAAUAUUAUUAUCUUCAUUUGCAUUUAAGGAAACUAACAGUCGAGAAACUUGAAGUCAAACCCUGGCUGCUGAGGUCGCACAGGUGGUAUUUCAGAGGCGUCUGUUGCCCAUCCUACUUUCUCUUAGUCCAGUACCUCUCACGAUGUGGUCUUUGAACCACCGAAAUCAGAAAAUCGUGGGACUUUCUAACCUUCAGAUCCCUGGACUCUCUCUUAGACUCAGGGGAUGGAAAUCCCUGGGAAGUGGUCCUGGAACCUGCAUUGUAAACCACAUUUUGGACCUUGGGGAGGGAGUGUGUGGUUAACCCUAGGAACAGAACCGGCCCCUCCGUGUGGAGGCUGACCUGUGUUUUAGUCAUCGACUGAGUUCACGCUCUUUACUUAAUCUCUCUUGGCUUCCAUUUCCUCAUUUGUAAACCAGGGUCUCCUGGUGGUUGUGAGGCUCGAAGAUGAUGUGCAGAAAGUAGAAUAAAAUGUUAGACGUAGAAAGCUCCGUGCAAAUGCAUGGGGGUAUUAAUCGUGGGCUUGCCUGGGGACCGGGGGCAGGGGGGCAACCAGGGUACUGUGCACAGUGCUGGGCGCUUUGUGUGGAGAUGGGGAAGGGAGAGCAGAGAACCUCCGGGAGCAGGAUACCUUGGGGGUCUGUCCAGCCUUCUUAGGAGGAGCCACGUCCACCCCAACUCAAAGGAGAUCACUCCUUUUCUUUCAAGGGGGGGGCCCACUUUCUCUCUGGCCCCGGCCCUCACUUACCAAGCUAUUUCACAUGGGACCGAAGUGUGCUUUCUGCCUCAAUUUCCCCAACUGUUCAGGGAAGAAAAAAGCACCCGCUCCCCCAUGGCCACGCUCGCUGUCGGUUGCUGUUUCCUUAGGCCAGAAUUACUCAACAUUCUCUGUGUGCCAGGGUCAUGAUCGUUCGUUUAACUCACACAACAGGGUUACGACGUCUGUAGUUCAGUCAGACCCAUUUUAUAGACGAGGGGACAGACUCGGGGAGUUGAAGUGAUGUGCCCAAGCCAGUAAGUGAUGGAACUUCGAGACUCGAGUUCUUCCCCUCCACACCACACCCCUGGGAGAGGGCUUGGGGAAGGGCUGGGACUGAGAGUGCGCUAAGCUUUGAGCUGCUCUGAGGCUUCUGAAGGAACAUCCAUGUUUGAAAGCAAAA